UGGUCAAGUUAUUAAGGGUGCAGGGCGGAUGCCUUGGCACUAGGAGCCGAUGAAGGACGUGAUAAGCUGCGAUAAGCUUCGGGGAGUUGCACGUAAACUUUGAUCCGAAGAUUUCCGAAUGAGGAAACUCACUUAGAGUAAUGUCUAAGUAUCAUUAAGUGAAUACAUAGCUUAAUGAGGGGAACUCAGGGAACUGAAACAUCUAAGUACCUGAAGGAAGAGAAAGAAAUUCGAUUCCGUAAGUAGCGGCGAGCGAACGCGGAUUAGCCCAAACCAAUAAAGUUUUCUUUAUUGGGGUUGCGGACAUAUCAUAACGAAGAGGUAUCGUAAUUGAAGAGGUUUGGAAAGACCCACCACAGAAGGUAAUAGUCCUGUAUGUUAAACGAGAAGACUUCAGAUAUGAUCCAGAGUACCACGGGACACGUGAAACCCUGUGGGAAGCAGGAGGGACCACCCUCCAAGGCUAAAUACUACCUAGUGACCGAUAGCGUAUAGUACCGUGAGGGAAAGGUGAAAAGAACCCCGGGAGGGGAGUGAAAUAGAACCUGAAACCCUGCACUUACAAGCUGUGGAAGCACAUUUCUUGUGUGACCGCGUACUUUUUGUAGAACGGGCCAACGAGUUACGUUAAGUAGCAAGGUUAAGCACUUAAGGUGCGGAGCCGUAGCGAAAGCGAGUUUUAACUGAGCGUUCAGUUACUUGACGUAGACCCGAAACCGGGCGACCUACCCAUGAGCAGGAUGAAGCGAAAGUAAAAUUUCGUGGAGGUCCGAACCCACGAGCGUUGAAAAGCUCGGGGAUGACUUGUGGGUAGCGGUGAAAUUCCAAUCGAGCCCGGAGAUAGCUGGUUCUCCCCGAAAUAGCUUUAGGGCUAGCCUCAAGGUGAGAGAUACGGAGGUAGAGCACUGAAUGUCCUAGGGGGUAUUGCACCUACCGAAGACUAUCAAACUCCGAAUGCCGUCAUCUUAUACUUGGGAGUCAGACUGUGGGUGAUAAGAUUCAUAGUCGAAAGGGCAACAGCCCAGAUCGUCAGCUAAGGUCCCUAAAUGUAAGUUAAGUGGUAAAGGAUGUGGGAUUGCACAGACAACCAGGAUGUUGGCUUAGAAGCAGCCACUCAUUCAAAGAGUGCGUAAUAGCUCACUGGUCGAGUGAUCCUGCGCCGAAGAUUUCCGGGGCUAAAACUUACUACCGAAGCUACGGCAUCAGUAAUGAUGGGUAGGGGAGCUUCCCAUACGGGUUGAAGCAUGACCGUAAGGACAUGUGGACAGUAUGGGAGUGAGAAUGUUGGCAUGAGUAGCGAGAUGUGGGUGAGAAUCCCACAGGCCGUAAACCCAAGGUUUCCAGGGGAAGGUUCGUCCGCCCUGGGUUAGUCGGGACCUAAGCUGAGGCCGAAAGGCGUAGGUGAUGGACAACAGGUUGAUAUUCCUGUACUACCGAUAACCGUUUGAGAGAAGGGAUGACACAGUAGGAUAAGCUAAGCACACUGUUGGUUAUGUGUGCCCAAGCAUUGAGGCAGUCAAAGCAGGCAAAUCCGCUUUGAUAAUGCUGGGAUGUGAUGGGGAGCGAAAUUUAGUAGCGAAGUAGCUGAUUUCACACUGUCAAGAAAAGUCUCUAUCGAGGUUAAAGGUACCCGUACCGCAAACCGACACAGGUGGGUGAGGAGAGUAUCCUAAGGCCAGCGAGAGAACUGUUGUUAAGGAACUCGGCAAAAUGACCCCGUAACUUAGGGAUAAGGGGUGCCACCAUCCGGUGGCCGCAGAGAAUAGGCCCAAGCGACUGUUUACCAAAAACAUAGGUUUCUGCUAAGUCGCAAGACGAUGUAUAGGAGCUGACGCCUGCCCGGUGCUGGAAGGUUAAGGGGAUCUGUUAGAGCAAUCGAAGCAGUGAACUUAAGCCCCAGUAAACGGCGGCCGUAACUAUAACGGUCCUAAGGUAGCGAAAUUCCUUGUCGGGUAAGUUCCGACCCGCACGAAAGGCGUAACGAUUUGGGCACUGUCUCAACAACAGACUCGGUGAAAUUGUAAUUCCGGUGAAGAUGCCGGAUACCUGCGACAGGACGGAAAGACCCCAUGGAGCUUUACUGUAGCUUGACAUUGGGUCUUGGUACUACAUGUACAGGAUAGGUGGGAGGCUUUGAAACCAGGACGCCAGUUUUGGCGGAGCCAUCCUUGGGAUACCACCCUUGUAGUACUGGGACUCUAACCAUAGGCCAUGAAUCUGGUCUUGGGACACUGUCAGGUGGGCAGUUUGACUGGGGCGGUCGCCUCCCAAAAGGUAACGGAGGCGCUCAAAGGUUCUCUCAGUACGGUCGGAAAUCGUACGUAGAGUGUAAAGGCAAAAGAGAGCUUGAUUGCAAGACAUACAGGUCGAGCAAGGAUGAAAAUCGGACUUAGUGAUCCGGUGGUUCUGCGUGGAAGGGCCAUCGCUCAACGGAUAAAAGCUACCCUGGGGAUAACAGGCUUAUCUCCCCCAAGAGUCCACAUCGACGGGGAGGUUUGGCACCUCGAUGUCGGCUCAUCACAUCCUGGGGCUGUAGUAGGUCCCAAGGGUUGGGCUGUUCGCCCAUUAAAGUGGUACGCGAGCUGGGUUCAGAACGUCGUGAGACAGUUCGGUCCCUAUCCGUCGCAGGCGUAGGAAAUUUGAGAAGACCUGUCCUUAGUACGAGAGGACCGGGAUGGACGUACCUCUGGUGUACCAGUUGUCCUGCCAAGGGCAUGGCUGGGUAGCUAUGUACGGAAUGGAUAAGCGCUGAAAGCAUCUAAGCGCGAAGCCAACUUCAAGAUAAGAUUUCCCACCGCAAGGGUAAGACCCCAGAAAGACUAUCUGGUUGAUAGGUCGAAGGUGUAAGUGCAGCAAUGUAUUUAGCUUAUCGAUACUAAUAGGUCGAGGACUUGACCAAU
rnacentral:rRNA from 1 species